ensembl:lncRNA
AACAUCUACAGACGUUCGGGGGUCACGGAAGGGGCAGAGGCUGCUCCUGGCAUCAAGCGGGGCUGCCCCCACAGCACAGAGCGACCCACCCUGUGUCGAGGAGGCUACAGUGAACCUGCAGGAAGGAGGAAGGAGGUUGGAGACCUUACUUCUCAACUCAAAAGGGGCCUCAUCCCCCUAAUGUUGGUGAUGCUUUUUCUUGCCAAGGGACCAGAAACUCAUUUCUGUGCCCCACCCUUGGGCAGUGCUCCAGUAUCCACUCCAGGGAAAUAGAAGGAGGAGGCCCCGCAGCCUGCCAAGGCCGGACUGUUCUUCACUUGGAAAUAUCAUCCCAGCCCUGCUCCCACAGCCCCCUCCUUCCACAGCCCCCUCCUUCCUCCACCCCACAAGGCUAUUCGUGAAAGAAUUAAAAAUGAGCCCAGCACUAAGGCGAUCUGAGUAAUAAAUGUGUUGGGACAACCAGA